rnacentral:rRNA from 1 species
AUUGAACGCUGGCGGCAGGCCUAACACAUGCAAGUCGAGCGGAGCGGCGGACGGGUGAGUAAUGCCUAGGAAUCUGCCUGGUAGUGGGGGAUAACGUCCGGAAACGGGCGCUAAUACCGCAUCCUAUCAGAUGAGCCUAGGUCGGAGUAGCUAGUUGGUUGGGUAAAGGCCUACCAAGGCGACGAUCCGUAACUGGUCUGCGAUGAUGAUCAGUCACACUGGAACUGAUAUACGGUCCAGACUCCUACGGGAGGGAGUAGGGGGGAAGAUUGGACAAUGGGCGAAAGCCUGAUCCAGCCAUGUCGCGUGUGGGUAGAAGGUCUUCUGAUUGUAAAGCACUUUAAGUUGGGAGGCGUUACCAACAGAAUAAGCACCGGCUAACUUCGUGCCAGCAGCCGCGGUAAUUC